rnacentral:lncRNA from 1 species
GCCGUGCAUGUCACUUGUGUGUUGUGCCCUUAGCACCUGAGCACAGGGGCUGUUGACCAGUCUGGCUCCCUUCCAAAAUGUGGGCUUCUCUGAAAUUGAGAUCCGGACGGUGCGCUAAGGAGAACAUUGGGGGUAAAUUCAGAUGGGUGGCCUCACGGCGCAGGCUGCUAGCUGGACCGGCACAGUGACAGCACGAGUGACCCAGAGAACUGGACCCAGCGCCCCGCCGCCAGAGAAGGAGCAACCACUCCUGCCCUCUUCUUUGCCUGCACCUCCUGCUGUUGCUGAGCCAGCCCACAGGCCCGGCUCCCCCGCACCCGCAGAGAAGGUCGAGACUCCCCCGCCCACGGCCUCAGCUCUGGAUUACCCCAGUGAGAAUCUGGCCUUCAUCGACGAGUCCUCAGACACGCAGAGUGAGCGUGGCUGUGCCCUGCCUCGUGCGCCUCGGGGUCGCCGCCGCCCCAACCCAACGAAGAAGCCCUCCAGACCCCGGGGUCCUGGGCGUCUUCGAGACAAGGCCGUGCCGGUGUAGGGACAGGAUCUCUGGCCCGCGACCCUACGCCAGGGCUUCGCCCAGGCAUGCUUAGCUUAUUUGACCAAAGAGCCCUCUUUUGUUCCACGGAAUUGCAACCCGGAGAGGAGUCCAAUGGUUGCCAAAUGCCACCGCUCUUCCCUGGCUGGUUCUUCACAUCCAACCAUUUCCAAAGCCCACCAUCCAAGGCUUUCUGUCUUGCUUCCCUGCCGAUUUUGCCCCCACACCUCACGACUGUGCCUCAAAACCUGCAUCAAUAAAACAAAAAGUCUGCACCAA